UGCAGUCGAGCGGAGUUAGAGAAGCUUGCUUCUCUAACUUAGCGGCGGACGGGUGAGUAACACGUGGGCAAUCUGCCCGUAAGACUGGGAUAACUCCGGGAAACCGGGGCUAAUACCGGAUAAUCCUGACUCUCUCCUGAGAGUCAGUUGAAAGAUGGUUUCGGCUAUCACUUACGGAUGAGCCCGCGGCGCAUUAGCUAGUUGGUGAGGUAACGGCUCACCAAGGCGACGAUGCGUAGCCGACCUGAGAGGGUGAUCGGCCACACUGGGACUGAGACACGGCCCAGACUCCUACGGGAGGCAGCAGUAGGGAAUCUUCCGCAAUGGACGAAAGUCUGACGGAGCAACGCCGCGUGAGUGAAGAAGGUUUUCGGAUCGUAAAACUCUGUUGUUAGGGAAGAACACGUACGAGAGUAACUGCUCGUACCUUGACGGUACCUAACCAGAAAGCCACGGCUAACUACGUGCCAGCAGCCGCGGUAAUACGUAGGUGGCAAGCGUUGUCCGGAAUUAUUGGGCGUAAAGCGCGC
rnacentral:rRNA from 1 species